GCCUGAGUGGCUCAGUGGUUGAGUGUCUGCCUUUGGCUCAGGUCAUGAUCCCAAGGUCCUGGGAUGGAGUCCCUGAUCAGGCU
rnacentral:tRNA from 1 species